UACGAAGGGGGCGAGCGUUGUUCGGAUUUACUGGGCGUAAAGGGCGCGUAGGCGGCCUUGUCAGUCAGGCGUGAAAGCCCCGGGCUCAACCUGGGAACGGCGCUUGGGACGGCGAGGCUGGAGUUCGGGAGAGGAGAGUGGAAUUCCCAGUGUAGAGGUGAAAUUCGUAGAUAUUGGCUGGAACACCGGUGGCGAAAGCGGCUCUCUGGCCCGGUUCUGACGCUGAGGCGCGAAAGCGUGGGGAGCAAACAGG
rnacentral:rRNA from 1 species